rnacentral:lncRNA from 1 species
GUAGAAGUCCAAUCAACUUGAAACUUAGUAUACAUGUUCCCUUUGAUAAGAUCAUUCUAAUUUUAAUGCCAAAUUAGAGAAUUUAUUCCAAUUUCACAGUCCUUUAAACAUAGAAAAUGAUAGUGUGAGUGGGGCAUCCGUGUACUGUGGACACAUUCUUGUUUUUAUUGUGAUUUUAAGUUUUUAAGUAGCAGUUUGGCAAUUUUAAUUAUUUGCAUCAUUAUCAUUAAAUUUAUAUUAAAGUUGAUGAGCAUAAUGAUUUGGUCUUUGUAAGGUUUUGAAAUUGAAUGAAGAAAUGAAUAUAAUUUCUUUCACAAUGCUUAUCUAAAUUUGUAAGAAUUUCAAAAGCACAUUUUGAAUUCUUCUUAAUAUAAUAACACAUCUUUUGGUUUUUACUGUCAUAGAAAAAUUUUGUAGCUUCAAAGUGAUAUUUAUUCAUUGUAUUUCUUUAGUAUAGUUCUCCCCAUCUGUAUCUUAUCAGUUUGUGUUGAUAGUUCUUGCCUCUAGGUGUUUCACCAUUUAUUGGCAAUAUUUAUUAUUUAACAGGACAGUCACUGAGUCUGAUUAUAACAAGCACCUUACAUACCAGUAUUUAUCUUUUAAAAUUCAUUAUAAUUUCAUGAGAGUCGGGUGAAUUUAGCUCUUCAUGAUAUGUUUAUAAAAUUUGACUGAAAUAAGCUGAAAAGUUAUUAAGAUGUAAUUAAUAUUUAUCCUCAAUUGAAAGAUGUUUGUAUUUAAACCUACAUUUUUCAGUAUAUUUCUACUUUUUACAAACUCACAAAUAAGAUACUAGUUUUACAUUGAGCUACAGUAAACUCAUGAAAACAUGAUGAUAGGUACAUUUCAUUUUGGUAAUUCAGGAAAUUUUAUCUUAAGUUUGAAACACCUCACAUUUUUACCAUGUUUGGAUAAACAAUUGGUAUUGUAAUUAUCGGAUUUAUGGAUUUCCUUAUGGGAUUAAAACUUGAAGAUUACCAGCUACACUUAUAACAGAAUAUGUUUUUAUUUAGUUGAUGAAGAUUGUCAUAUUAUCAGUAUUAUGUUAGGUAUGUGAUUUUUGUUGUUGUUUGUUCAGUGAGAGAAUGUGACAACAUUGUGAUGUAACUUAAUUGUACAUAUCAUAAAAAGGUUACAGAAUUGUAGACAAUAUAUAUUUAAUAAUUAAAAUAAUUUAUCUUCUAA